rnacentral:lncRNA from 1 species
GAUUUUCUGGCUUAAGAAGUGGCUACAGAAGGUUUUUGAGAAACCAUCUCUACUUCUGGAGCGCUGCAGUGUCUGGAGAGUGCAGCAGAGCUGAGAGGAAGCUGCGUUUCCCAGCUACCACUAUAUCGGAGCAAUGGCAGGACGAUUAACUGCAGGCUUUAAAUCAUCAGUGGCUGGGAUCCUACGUCGUGAACAGUCUGAGGCUUUCCUGAGAUUGAGAUUUGCUGCUCUAGGGAACAAGGCUUCAGGCAGCCCACGGCCUCCGAUUCGGCGCAGCGCUGACGUCUCCCUCUGGACAGACUAGCUCUGAGUGAAGACCCUCAGCCUCACAUUCACCUUUCCCAUCACUCUUACCAUAUUCCUCUUCUUCUUGAAGUCCCCUGGCUCUCUGCACUGGCAGAACUGGUGCCUUGUAGACACAGGAGGAGACCAUGCGGUGUCCCAGGCUGUGGACAGCUGGUCAGCAAGGCCAGCCUCCGACAUUGCUAUCCUGUGGGUCAGUCUUAAUUUAAGGUGGGCUAACAGCCACUGCUAUCACCCUGUUAUUGCAGUUCUCUGAAGACAGAGCCUGAGCCGGAGCUGGAGCUGGUGCUGGUGGUGCAGUGCCCUGUUCUGCAAGAUUUCUAGUGAGUCGUUUUUGGAAGGGCUUGAUCUUCUACAUCCCUGAAAUGACGCUGCAUUUCUGUUCAUGUGAGACACUCUCCUGGUGUUCAGUCUUCCUGUUCCUUAUCACUGGUCAUACAAGAGCUUUGGCUACAAACCACAGAGAUUUAAUAAGACAGCACAGCCUAUACACAUAGGCAAAAAUCGCCAUCGUUUGCUGGCCAGUUGCCAUAUGACCCGGACACAGUUCCUCCGCUCAGUGAUGCAAAAGGCACCCUGACCACACACAUCCCCAAUGGGAGGCUUGAUGACAGCUUGCUUGGCUGCAGCCAACUUCUCCUGCUCUAAAGCAGUGAACACUGUGAUGACAAAUAAUGGAUGGCGACCAGCAUUGUGAAUAAAAAUCCCAAGUGCAUGAAGCA